GGUUAGUGUGAAAGUAGUGAGUUAUCUCACUUGAUUGUUCACAGUCAGUUACAGAUUGAACUCCUUGUUCUACUACUUUCCCCCCUUCUCACUACUGCAUUUGACCAGUCUUAA
rnacentral:Y_RNA from 1 species